rnacentral:piRNA from 1 species
UUAAUGUGACCUGUCUUAAGCCCUCAGCUU